AACGAACGCUGGCGGCAUGCCUAACACAUGCCAGUCGAACGAGACCUUCGGGUCUAGUGGCGCACGGGUGCGUAACGCGUGGGAACCUGCCCUUAGGUUCGGAAUAACUCCCCGAAAGGGGUGCUAAUACCGGAUAAUGUCCUCGGACCAAAGAUUUAUCGCCUUUGGAUGGGCCCGCGUUGGAUUAGCUAGUUGGUAGGGUAAAAGCCUACCAAGGCGACGAUCCAUAGCUGGUCUGAGAGGAUGAUCAGCCACACUGGGACUGAGACACGGCCCAGACUCCUACGGGAGGCAGCAGUGGGGAAUAUUGGACAAUGGGCGAAAGCCUGAUCCAGCAAUGCCGCGUGAGUGAUGAAGGCCUUAGGGUUGUAAAGCUCUUUUACCCGGGAUGAUAAUGACAGUACCGGGAGAAUAAGCGCCGGCUAACUCCGUG
rnacentral:rRNA from 1 species